UACGUAGGGUGCGAGCGUUAAUCGGAAUUACUGGGCGUAAAGCGUGCGCAGGCGGCUUUGCAAGACAGAUGUGAAAUCCCCGGGCUCAACCUGGGAACUGCAUUUGUGACUGCAAGGCUAGAGUACGGCAGAGGGGGAUGGAAAUCCGCGUGUAGCAGUGAAAUGCGUAGAUAUGCGGAGGAACACCAAUGGCGAAGGCAAUCCCCUGGGCCUGUACUGACGCUCAUGCACGAAAGCGUGAGGAGCAAACAGG
rnacentral:rRNA from 1 species